rnacentral:rRNA from 1 species
CCAGACUCCUACGGGAGGCAGCAGUGGGGGAUAUUGCACAAUGGGGGGAACCCUGAUGCAGCGACGCCGCGUGGGUGAAGGAGCGUUUCGGCGCGUAAAGCCCUAUCGGCAGGGAAGAAGGAGGACGGUACCUGACUAAGAAGCCCCGGCUAACUACGUGCCAGCAGCCGCGGUAAUACGUAGGGGGCUAGCGUUAUCCGGAAUUACUGGGCGUAAAGGGUGCGUAGGUGGUUUCUUAAGUCAGAGGUGAAAGGCUACGGCUCAACCGUAGUAAGCCUUUGAAACUGGGGAACUUGAGUGCAGGAGAGGAGAGUGGAAUUCCUAGUGUAGCGGUGAAAUGCGUAGAUAUUAGGAGGAACACCAGUUGCGAAGGCGGCUCUCUGGACUGUAACUGACACUGAGGCACGAAAGCGUGGGGAGCAAACAGGAUUAGAUACCCCAGUA